rnacentral:rRNA from 1 species
UACGUAGGGUGCGAGCGUUAAUCGGAAUUACUGGGCGUAAAGGGCGCGCAGGCGGCUCCGCAUGUCAGGCGUGAAAUCCCCGAGCUUAACUUGGGAAUUGCGCUUGAAACUACGGGGCUGGAGUGUGGCAGAGGGAGGUGGAAUUCCACGUGUAGCGGUGAAAUGCGUAGAGAUGUGGAGGAACACCGAUGGCGAAGGCAGCCUCCUGGGCCAACACUGACGCUCAUGCACGAAAGCGUGGGGAGCAAACAGG